AUAAGAGGUCCCGCCUGCCCUGUGACUAUAGUUUAACGGCCGCGGUAUUUUAACCGUGCGAAGGUAGCGUAAUCACUUGUCCUUUAAAUGAAGACCUGUAUGAAUGGCAUCACGAGGGCUUAGCUGUCUCCCAUCCCUAGUCAAUGAAAUUGACCUCCCCGUGCAGAGGCGGGGAUAACUCCAUAAGACGAGAAGACCCUAUGGAGCUUUAGACCUAAAGUAAAUCACGUUUAACAUCCUGCAAUAAUAGUAAAAACUUACUGAUACUUACUGAAGUGUCUUUGGUUGGGGCGACCGCGGGGUAAAACACAACCCCCAUGUGGACCGGGGAUACAAUCCCUAACACUCAGAGCCUCUACUCCAAGUAACAGAAAUUCUGACUUUUCUGAUCCGGUAGCACCGAUCAACGAACCGAGUUACCCUAGGGAUAACAGCGCAAUCUCCUCUCAGAGCCCAUAUCGACGAGGGGGUUUACGACCUCGAUGUUGGAUCAGGACAUCCUAAUGGUGCAGCCGCUAUUAAGGGUUCGUUUGUUCAACGAUUAAAGUCC
rnacentral:rRNA from 1 species